rnacentral:lncRNA from 1 species
GUUGUAGAGAUGGUCUGUGGUUGUCUGUGGUGGUGUAGAGAUGGUAGGUGGGGGUCUGUGGUGGUGUAGAGAUGGUAGGUGGUGGUCUGUGGAGGUGUAGCGAUGGUAGGUGGGGGUCUGUGGUGGUGUAGAGAUGGUCUGUGUAUGUCUGUGGUGGUGUAGAGAUGGUAGGUGGUGGUGUAGAGAUGGUAGGUGGUGGUCUGUGGUGGUGAAGGGAUGGUAGGUGGGGGUCUGUGGUGGUGUAGAGAUGGUAGGUGGGGGUCUGUGGUGGUGUAGAGAUGGAAGGUGGUGGAGUAGAGAUGGUAGGUGGUGGUCUGUGGUGGUGUAGAGAUUUUAGGUGGUGGUCUGUGGUGGUGUAG